ACAACUUUCGACAACGGAUCUCUUGGUUCUCCCAUCGAUGAAGAACGCAGCGAAACGCGAUAAGUAAUGUGAAUUGCAGAAUUCCGUGAAUCAUCGAAUCUUUGAACGCACCUUGCGCUCCAUGGUAUUCCGUGGGGCAAGCCUGUUUGAAUUGCGCG
rnacentral:rRNA from 1 species